GACAGAGGGUGCAAACGUUGCUCGGAAUUACUGGGCGUAAAGCGCGUGUAGGCGGUCACGCAAGUCAGGUGUGAAAGCCCAGGGCUCAACCCUGGAAGUGCACAUGAUACUACGUGGCUGGAGUACUGAAGAGGAGAGCGGAAUUCCCGGUGUAGAGGUGAAAUUCGUAGAUAUCGGGAGGAACACCAGUGGCGAAGGCGGGUCUCUGGGCAAUAACUGACGCUGAGGAGCGAAAGCAUGGGGAGCGAACAGG
rnacentral:rRNA from 1 species